AUGCAUGUCUCAGUACAAGCCGCAUUAAGGCGAAACCGCGAAUGGCUCAUUAAAUCAGUUAUGGUUCCUUAGAUCUUACACUUUUUACAUGGAUAACUGUGGUAAUUCUAGAGCUAAUACAUGAAACUUGUACCCCGACUUUACGGAAGGGGUGCUUUUAUUAGAACAAAACCAAUCGGGGGGCUCGUCCCUCCGUUGCCUUGGUGACUCUGAAUAACUUUGGGCUGAUCGCACGGUCCUAGCACCGGCGACGCAUCUUUCAAAUGUCUGCCUUAUCAACUGUCGAUGGUAGGUUCUGCGCCUACCAUGGUUGUAACGGGUGACGGGGAAUCAGGGUUCGAUUCCGGAGAGGGAGCCUGAGAAACGGCUACCACAUCCAAGGAAGGCAGCAGGCGCGCAAAUUACCCACUCCCGGCACGGGGAGGUAGUGACGAAAAAUAACGAUACGGGACUCAUCCGAGGCCCCGUAAUCGGAAUGAGAACACUUUAAAUCCUUUAACGAGGAUCUAUUGGAGGGCAAGUCUGGUGCCAGCAGCCGCGGUAAUUCCAGCUCCAAUAGCGUAUAUUAAAGUUGUUGCGGUUAAAAAGCUCGUAGUCGGAGGUGUGUCUCGGACGGUCGGUUCGCCGCUUGUCGGUGCUCAACUGGCCGGUCCGGACGUCCUGCCGGUGGGGCUGUAAAAGGCUCCGUUAUCCUUCUUUGGUCCUCUUCAUUGAGUGCCUUGGUGGGCCGGCACGUUUACUUUGAACAAAUUAGAGUGCUCAAAGCAGGCCGUUGGUCGCCUGAAUACUGUGUGCAUGGAAUAAUAGAAUAGGACCUCGGUUCCAUUUUGUUGGUUUUCAGAACUCGAGGUAAUGAUUAAUAGGGACGGACGGGGGCAUUCGUAUUGCGACGUUAGAGGUGAA
rnacentral:rRNA from 1 species